rnacentral:rRNA from 1 species
UACAGAGGUCUCAAGCGUUGUUCGGAUUCAUUGGGCGUAAAGGGUGCGUAGGUGGCGCGCUAAGUCAGGUGUGAAAUUUCGGAGCUCAACUCCGAAACUGCAUUUGAUACUGGCGUGCUUGAGGACUGGAGAGGAGACUGGAAUUUACGGUGUAGCAGUGAAAUGCGUAGAGAUCGUAAGGAAGACCAGUGGCGAAGGCGGGUCUCUGGACAGUUCCUGACCAGCUGAGGCACGAAGGCCAGGGGAGCAAACGGG